AUGGAUAUUCACCAUAUCUACCUCCUAACCCAUAUCCAUCUUAUUCAUAAUUUUCCCCAAACACACACCCUAACUCCACCCACAUCAACACUCAUAUCCUUCAACAACAAGCAUACGACUAUCACACACCUCUCUACCACCAACAUAUUUCCACUCCUUACCAACCCGCAAGACAACCAACUGACUCACAGUUUAUAUUUUCUAAACAAAAACCAACAAACACACCUUCCACCAUUGAGAAACCCGCUCUUUGUGAAUACACUCCAAUUGUUCGUGAUUUUUUUUUAA